UAUACCACUGAGCUACACCUCCAGCCUCCAAAAUCUUGCUAUUUUUUUUUUUUUUUUUUUUUUUUAUCGGUACCGGGGAUCGAACUCACAACCGCCUGCUUGGAAGGCAGGCGCUUAUGCCGCUGAGCUAAAUCCCCAUCCCCUAAAAUCUCGCUUUUAAAUUAUUAUGGUUUGAUUUUUUUAUUCUUUGUAAUUUAGGCUGGCUUGAAAUCACUAUGGAGCCCAGGCUGGCCUCAAACUCAUGGUGAUCCUCCUGCCUCGGCCUCCCAAGUGCUGGGACUACAGGUUUCUUGUUGGAGAUUGCCCUGAUACAAUCAGAAGCUACAACUCAGGAGAAAACAUCCACACAGGGAAAACAUCCUCCUGAGGCGGAGCCACUUGCAAUGGAUCUAGACCGGCAAACAGAAAUUUCACAUGAUCUGAGUUGUGCAGACCUAAUAACAGCUCUGUAAGCCAACCCCCACGAGCACCUUCAUAGGGCCAGGUCUCACUGUGUAGUCCAGGCUGACAUGAACUCACAGUCUUCCUGCCUCAGCCUCCCAAGUGGUGGGAGUACAGGAGCUUCCGCCCACGCUCCACUACGCAGACCUAAUUAAGGCACAUUGGAGCCAGCAAGCUGUGUGCCUGUGGCAGGACAGUGCCAGCGCGUCCUAGGGCCAGAAUCCACACCACUGUCUCCUCCCCAGCGGCACACAGUGUCUUCACUACCCCAGGACAGGGAUGCGACCAUGUCAGAGAAGGUGCCUUGUGCACGUGGAACCAGCAGCCUGAGCACCCAGCCGCCAGUGUGAGGUUUCCGAGUGGAUCCUUGGAUUCUCAAAGAGCUGAACCUUUUCCCUAGCAGUCAAUUGCUUUGUCGAAUAGAAAACAUCAUGUAAACCGUAAGAAUUUGGUAAAUCAAAAACUAGCUGGGUGAGGUGGCGCACACCUGUAAUCAUGGCAUUCGAGAGGCUGAGGCAGGAGGAUGGCUGUGAGUCCAAGGCCAACCUGCACGGUGAGACUCUGUCUCAAAAAACCAAUAAAUAAAUAAAUGAAUGAAUAAAUAAUAUAAAGUACAUGAUUAGUGUACAUAGUAAUAACAGGAUUAUUGGUUUUUCUUU